CCCUACCCCUCCCGCCGCGCCGCGAGCUCGCGGACAGUCGGCGCGCGGGCCGGGCCCCGCCGGCGCCCCUCAGCUUCGCGCGCCAGUGGCGUUGCCCCGGGCUCCGGGGGAUGCCCCCGGCCGAGCACUUCUCAUGGCCGCCGACGUCUUCAUGUGCUCACCGCGCCGGCCCCGCAGCCGGGGCCGCCAGGUGCUGCUCAAGCCCCAGGUGCCCGAGGACGACGACGACUCGGACACGGAUGAGCCGUCCCCGCCGCCCGCCUCCGGCGCGGCCACCCCGGCCCGGGCCCACGCGAGCGCCGCGCCACCGCCGCCUCGGGCCGGGCCGGGCCGUGAGGAGCCUCCGCGCCGCCAGCAGAUCAUCCACAGCGGCCACUUCAUGGUGUCGUCGCCGCACCGGGAGCACCCGCCCAAGAAGGGCUACGAUUUCGACACGGUCAACAAACAGACGUGCCAGACCUACAGCUUCGGCAAGACCAGCUCCUGCCACCUGUCCAUCGACGCCUCGCUCACCAAGCUCUUCGAGUGCAUGACUUUGGCCUACAGUGGGAAGUUGGUGUCUCCAAAGUGGAAGAAUUUCAAGGGCCUGAAGCUACAGUGGAGAGACAAGAUCCGGCUCAAUAAUGCCAUCUGGCGGGCCUGGUACAUGCAGUAUCUGGAGAAGCGCAAGAAUCCUGUGUGUCACUUUGUGACGCCCCUAGACGGCUCUGUGGAUGUAGACGAGCACCGCCGGCCGGAGGCCAUCACCACGGAAGGGAAGUACUGGAAGAGCCGCAUCGAGAUUGUGAUCCGGGAGUAUCACAAGUGGAGAACCUACUUCAAGAAAAGGCUACAGCAGCACAAGGAUGAGGACCUCUCCAGCCUGGUCCAGGACGAUGACAUGCUCUAUUGGCACAAGCACGGGGAUGGAUGGAAGACCCCUGUCCCCAUGGAGGAGGACCCCCUGCUGGACACAGACAUGCUCAUGUCGGAAUUCAGCGACACCCUCUUCUCCACGCUUUCUUCACACCAGCCGGUGGCCUGGCCCAAUCCCCGGGAAAUAGCACAUCUGGGAAAUGCAGACAUGAUCCAGCCGGGACUGAUUCCUUUGCAGCCUAACCUGGACUUCAUGGACACCUUCGAGCCUUUCCAGGACCUCUUCUCUUCUAGCCGCUCCAUUUUUGGCUCCAUGCUACCUGCAUCUGCCUCAGCACCUGUACCAGAUCCCAACAACCCACCUGCACAGGAGAGCGUCCUGCAGACCACCACCCUCCCCUCCGUGAGCCUGCCUGACAGCCUCAUCGCGCCCCCUACCGCCCCGCCCCUGACUCACGUGGACGGGCAGUGCUGUGAACACACCUCCCGGGCUGAGGACCCGUUUAUCCAGCCCACGGACUUCGGUCCAUCAGAGGCACCACUGAGUGUCCCGCAGCCCUUCCUCCCCGUCUUCACCAUGCCCCUGCUGUCUCCCAGCCCCGCCCCACCACCUGUCUCCCCCGUGUUACCGUUAGUUCCUCCUCCUGCCACUUCCCUGAACCCCCCAGCUCCACCCACCUUCCACCAGCCGCAGAAGUUUGCUGGAGUCAGCAAAGUGCCGUCUGUCAUCACCCACACGGCCUCCGCCACCCUCACCCAUGACGCCUCUGCCACCACCUUCAGCCAGAGUCAGGGCCUUGUGAUCACCACCCAUCACCCUGCCCCGUCAGCGGCCCCCUGUGGACUGGCACUGUCUCCUGUCCCCCGGCCUCCCCAGCCACGGUUAACUUUUGUGCACCCCAAACCUGUACCCUUGACUGGGGGCAGGCCUAAGCAGCCCCACAAAAUCGUGCCUGCUCCCAAACCAGAGCCCAUGUCCUUGGUGUUGAAGAACACCUGCAUUGCCCCAGCUGCCUUUUCAGGCCAGCCACAAGCGGUGAUCAUGACGUCAGGGCCUCUGAAGAGAGAAGGGAUGUUGGCCUCCACGGUGUCCCAGUCCAACGUGGUCAUCGCACCUGCUACCAUCGCCAGGGCUCCUGGGGUCCCGGAGUUCCACAGCAGCAUCCUGGUGACAGAUCUCGGCCAUGGCACGAACAGCCCGCCCGCCCCCAUCUCCCGGCUCUUCCCGAGCACAGCGCAAGACCCCCUGGGGAAGGGCGAGCAGGUCCAGCUGCAUGGGGGCAGCCCCCAGGUCACUGUCACAGGGCCCAGUCGAGACUGCCCAAACUCAGGGCAGGCCUCUCCAUGUGCAUCGGAGCAGAGCCCCAGUCCUCAGUCUCCCCAGAACAACUGCUCAGGGAAAUCCGACCCCAAAAAUGUGGCUGCACUAAAGCAGAACCGGCAGAUGAAGCACAUCUCAGCUGAGCAGAAAAGGCGCUUCAACAUCAAGAUGUGCUUCGACAUGCUCAACAGCCUUAUCUCCAACAAUUCCAAGCUGGCCUGCUGGCUAUGGGUGCCGCCUCCAGCCACCUGCCCCUUCUGCAGACCAGUCACGCCAUCACACUGCAGAAGACCGUGGAGUACAUCACCAAGCUGCAGCAGGAGAGGGGCCAGAUGCAGGAGGAGGCCCGGCGGCUUCGGGAGGAGAUCGAGGAGCUCAAUGCCACCAUCAUCUCCUGCCAGCAGCUGCUCCCUGCCACGGGAGUCCCCGUCACCCGGCGCCAGUUUGAUCACAUGAGAGACAUGUUUGACGAAUACGUGAAAAGCCGGACCUUGCAGAAUUGGAAGUUCUGGAUCUUCAGCAUAAUUAUCAAGCCGCUGUUUGAGUCAUUCAAGGGCAUGGUGUCCACCAGCAGCCUGGAGGAGCUGCACCGGACGGCGCUGUCCUGGCUGGACCAGCACUGCUCCCUGCCCAUCCUCAGGCCAAUGGUGUUGAACACUCUGCGGCAGCUGAGCACCUCCACCUCCAUCCUCACAGACCCGGCACAGCUGCCGGAGCAGGCAUCCAAGGCCGUCACCAGGAUCGGCAAAAGAUUGGGAGAGUCCUAGCUGCUUAGCUGGCAUGCAGCCGCAUGAGAUGCCAGGAGACCCUUCCCUGCUCAUGGAGAGUGGGCUGCGCCCCCCCAGCCCUUCCUGACGCUCAGCCUUGGGGCCUCUCUCCAACUCUACUGGCCCACCGUGGCGUCGGGAGGCCAUGCUCAGGUCUGAAGCAGGUUCGGGGCCUGCUGACAGCAAUAGCCCGCCUUUGGGAACCCCUUGCUGUGAACUCUCUCACUCAGUGACCUCAUUUACCAACCUCUUCUGCCCUUGGGGCAGCCCAGACAAAAGGGAAGUGCUGGCCCUGCUGGUCCUGCCCUGCUGGUGGCCUGCCAGGCCUGGCGCCGGUGAGCGGAAGCGAUGGGAUGAGGGUGACAGGGCCUGCUCCUGUCCUGAGGCCCAGCCUUGUCCCCUCCUGCCACGUCCUGUCCACAUGCAUGCCUCUGCCUGAUGCCCUGCUCCACUCUCUGGCCUGCCCGUGGGGCAGUCGGAAGGCAUCUUUCUCCCCUCAACUCUUGACAAUGCCUGGCCCUUGUGGAUGGACUUGGGCUUCUAUUCAGGCUUAUGCAUGGCAGGCUGCCAGGAGGAAGUGCCUUCUUCAGAGAGCCUCCAGGACACAUGUGUGCAGAAAGGUGGAUGUGGGACACACAGGACCAGAAUGGAAGUGUGUGAUGCACAGUGGCUGCUCUGGCUGACAGGCCCUGCUGGGCGUGUUUCAUCUGGCUGCUCUGGCUGACAGGCCCUGCUGGGUGUGUUUCAUCUGUCCCCUUUUAGCUCCACCUGACGUUGCAGGAUCCACAGGGACUCAGCCUGGGACUUUCUCGGAUGUCACCUCACCACCAUGGCCCUUCUGCCAUUCUUCUCUACUUGUCUCCAGCUGCAGCUGUUGACAGGUCAAGCGUGUCCAGUGGGAGCUUAGAACCCUGAAGUUCUAGUGUCCGAAAGAUCAGACUCCACGUCCUGCUGUCAGCCCUGUCAUCUUGUCUGAUGUCUUUCAGCUGGGUUCCCCAAACCAGGACAGUUCUCGGACCAAGGAUGCCCCCACACUCAAAAGUCUGUCCUGUCUUGUGUUUGGAGAAGGAAACAAUGUUGGUGGGCAGCACUCUGCAGUGGUCAGCCCUCAGAGCUGUCUCUAGGCAUCUCUCAGAUCAGACAGCAAAGAAUCUACCCGGAUCAGGGCUGGGUGGAGGCGUGGCUGGGCUGGGGGCCAUUUUGAGCGUGCGGUGGGAGGUUGGCCCAGCCUCAGUCCUUGCCCUUCUCUGGCUACCUCUGCAGGGAGCUGCAGGGGCAGGCACUCUCUCCAGCACUCAGGAAGCCCGGCCGAGGGUACCUCCUCGUGGAAAGAACGCACUUUAAAGCUCUGCUGAGGAGUUCGGAGCCCAGGCUUUCAGGCAACCUCUGCCCUCUCUGCCUCUCUUCACCCUCCCUCUCUGCCUGCAGGGCCUGGGAAGGGCUUUGAGGGAGCCUGGGAGCCGUGUGAAGAGGGUCACACCAGGCUGUCCCCAAAGUUUAGAUCCAGUUGGAGGUUCUCCUUGGCUCCUGCAGGCCUGCAGGGGUCUCUCCUCAGUUCAGGCCUCCGGCCAACCGCCUGCCCCCUUAUCUGUGCUUCAGCCUUGCACAAAAGCAGCUUGGUGACACCACUCAGCCACUCAGAGCGUGUGUUUACAGGCUUUCCAGAUCACCUUCCUUUGGGGUGAACAUAAGAUGAGGCUAGGCUGGUCCUUGGAAUUUCCCCUGGGAAAUGGUAAUAGACUCCAUCCUUGACCCAGGGAUAAGCAUGAAGGCAUUGUCCCAAAGGCAGAGGCCACGGUGGUAGGAAUUCCACCAAGGCCAGAAGGGAAAAAGGAAGAGGCCACCGUGUCCAGCUAUGUGGGCCCUGGGGAGGGUCGUGAGUGCAGCCCCUCUCCACUUCCGUGCCUUUGUAAAACGUGUAGAUAACCGCAGUGGUUGGCUGGGCCAAGAACUCUCCUAAGUCAGUGGCUUUCUCCCCACCCCUUGCUGGGGAUUCAUUCUUUUUAAACUCCGUGGGAUAUAAAAUUGGCCUCCUGCUGCUUCGGCCUACCUCUCCCUCUGCUGACUUAAUGUCAUGAUUCUGUUUCUUCAGGUAUUUAAGGCUGUUAGGUUGUGUGAGCCUUGAAGGGUGUGUGUGUGUGUGUGUGUGUGUGUGUGUGUGUGUGUGUGUGUGUCCCAGCGACUGUCCACUGUCCAGGAGACGCAUGUCUUUGUAUUGGAGAUAUUUCUGUAACUCAUUCUCUUGGUGCUCACGAUUGCCAUGGCCAUAGGGCCACAGUGCUGUAUCUCUGCUGCAGACAUGAUUGUUUCUUGUUUUGGAGGUUUUCUUGUUUUCAAAUCUUGCCUGAUGAAUCCAGCCAGACCAAGGGGCCUAGAUUUGACCUCUGUCCUUGGCUCCUGGGCCAGGUGCAGGGACAUCUGAGGCCAUUCUGCUGGCUGCCUCCAGUGGGUGCUGACCUCAGGGUGGGCUUUGUUUACACUCAUGUUCACCCUGAUUCUUGCCCCCACUUUCAUAAAAGAAAUUUCAAAAUGCUGACGCUUUGGAGAGUAAGAAAAUCAAUCUUGGCUGGGCACAGUGGCUCCUGCCUGUGAUUCCAGCACUUUGGGAGGCUGAAGCUGGAGGAUCACUUGAGCUCAGGAGUUGGAGACCAACCUUAGCAACAUAACAAGACCCUGUCUCUACAAAAAAAAAA